rnacentral:lncRNA from 1 species
AUGAUUGAGGCUCUGUGGCUUUGCUGCUCCGGUCCUCGUGUAAUACCCAGAGAACAACCUGAGAGAUCCCAGGGAGGGCUGAGCUCUGAUAUCUUCCAUCUUCUGCUGCUGCACCAGAAAUGUGAGCAUCUAACUGUAAGUAAGAUAAAUACGCUUUUAUGCUGUGUACGUAACCUUUGAGUUUGUUCUAUUGCCAACUUAUCGUUAUAUAUGAUCUGGAUCAGUUUUGUUUCUGCUGUGUGUAUAAAUAUUGAUGAGAAAUCCAAAGCCUUUUUUUUUUUUUCUCUGUAGAAAAUAACUAUGUUUAUGUCAGACACAAAUAGAUGAGUGGGAAAUGAUGUUCCUUAAACUUCUGCUUUGGUGUAUUUAGGAGACGUAUCAAGCACAGACA